AUAUCAAUAAGCGGAGGAAGAGAAACUAACAAGGAUUCCCCUAGUAACUGCGAGUGAAGCGGGAAAAGCUCAAAUUUAAAAUCUGGUGGUCUUUGGCCAUCCGAGUUGUAAUUUAGAGAAGCGUCUUCCGCGCUGGACCAUGCACAAGUCUCCUGGAAUGGAGGCGUCAGUAG
rnacentral:rRNA from 1 species